rnacentral:rRNA from 1 species
GACGAACGCUCGCGGCGUGCUUAACACAUGCAAGUCGAGCGGAAAGGCCCUUCGGGGUACUCCAGCGGCGAACGGGUGAGUAACACGUGAGUAAUCUGCCCCGCGAGUUGGGAUAGCCACGCGAAAGGGUGAUUAAUAACGGAUACGACCACCCCCCGCUUGGGAUGGUGGUGGAAAGUUUUUCGGCGGGGGAUGUGCUCGCGGCCUAUCAGCUUGUUGGUGGGGUAAUGGCCUACCACGGCGUCGACGGGUAGCCCGCCGGAGAGGGUGACCGGCCACGCUGGGACUGAGACACCGCCCAGACGCCUACGGGAGGCAGCAGUGGGGAAUAUUGGACACUGGGCGGAAGCCUGGUCCAGCAACGCCGCGUGAGGGAAGACGGCCUUCGGGUUGUAAACCUCUUUCAGCACAGACGAAGCGCAAGUGACGGUAUGUGCAGAAGAAGGACCGGCCAACUACGUGCCAGCCGCCGCCGUAACAC